rnacentral:rRNA from 1 species
GUGCCAGACUCCUACGGGAGGCAGCAGUGGGGGAUAUUGCACAAUGGGGGGAACCCUGAUGCAGCGACGCCGCGUGGGUGAAGGAGUGCUUCGGCAUGUAAAGCCCUAUCGGCAGGGAAGAAGCAAGACGGUACCUGACUAAGAAGCCCCGGCUAACUACGUGCCAGCAGCCGCGGUAAUACGUAGGGGGCAAGCGUUAUCCGGAUUCACUGGGUGUAAAGGGAGCGUAGACGGCCAUGCAAGCCUGGAGUGAAAGCCCGGGGCGCAACCCCGGGACUGCUCUGGGAACUGUGCGGCUGGAGUGCGGGAGGGGCAGGCGGAAUUCCUAGUGUAGCGGUGAAAUGCGUAGAUAUUAGGAGGAACACCAGUGGCGAAGGCGGCCUGCUGGACUGCAACUGACGUUGAGGCUCGAAGGCGUGGGGAGCAAACAGGAUUAGAUACCCGCGUAA